ACCUGAGUGGCUCAGUGGUUGAGUGUCUGCCCUUGGCUCAGGUCAUGAUACCGGGGUCGUGGGAUCGAGUCCCACAUCAGGCU
rnacentral:tRNA from 1 species